rnacentral:rRNA from 1 species
GAUGAACGCUGGCGGCGUGCCUAAUACAUGCAAGUCGUACGGAAAGGCCCUUCGGGGUACUCGAGUGGCGGACGGCUGAGUAACGCGUGGGAACGUGCCCCAAAGUGAGGGAUAACGCACCGAAAGGUGUGCUAAUACCGCAUAUGGUCUUCGGAUUAAAGCUUCGGCGCUUUGGGAGCGGCCCGCGUACGAUUAGAUAGUUGGUGAGGUAAUGGCUCACCAAGUCGACGAUCGUUAGCUGGUCUGAGAGGAUGAUCAGCCAGACUGGGACUGAGACACGGCCCAGACUCCUACGGGAGGCAGCAGUAAGGAAUCUUCCACAAUGGGGGCAACCCUGAUGGAGCAACGCCGCGUGCAGGAUGAAGGUUAUCGGCUCGUAAACUGCUUUUAUAAGUGAAGAAUAUGACGGUAACUUAUGAAUAAGGAUCGGCUAACUACGUGUCAGCCGCCGCAGUAA